AUAUCAUAUAAAAUAUAAAAAAAUGUUUGUCUGGAUUAAUAAAAUUUAUUUAAGUAUUUGUACCAAUUUAAUUAUAUAUAUGUAAUAGUUACUAAAUUUUUAAUUAUUAAUGUAUAUUUAUUAUUUCAUAAUAUGUAAAAAAUAGAUAAUACUUAAAAAUAAUUUAUAUAUAAUAUUCAUUCCGCGCAAGGCGCGGAUCUUAACCUAGUUAUAUAUAUUUUCUAAGAUGAUUAUCUGGAGAAUUGUUAGUUUUUAUGAUGGUUUCUUUCAUAGUUUACUUAGUAUUUUAUACUUUACAUCAGUUUGUAUUACUACCACUUCUUUUUUUGAACAUUUAUGUUCACUUACAAUAUGAAGUUUAUAUUGUUAAACUUGUAAUUUUUUACCUCUGAACUCUCAUGUUAAAAGUUAUAGCGACUAAAGUCAUUGCUAUCUUUAAUCUAUAAUUAGUUUUAUAAAGUAAAAGGAAUUAUAUAGAUUUUCUAACUUAAUGAUUAUCUGGAAAAAUGUUAAUUUUAUGAUGGCCCCUUUUAUAGUUUACUUAGUAUUUUAUAUUUACGUCAGUUUGUAUUACUACCACUUUUAUUUUUUGUUUUGAAGUUUGUAUUGCUAAACUUGUGAUUUUUUUACCUCUGAACUCUUAUGUUAAAAGUUAUGGCGACUAAAGUCAUUGAUACUUUUAAUCUAUAAUUAAUUUUAUAAAUUAAAAAGAAUUAUAUAUAUUUUUUCUAACUUAGUGAUUAUCCGGAGUUUUAUAAUGGCCUCUUUUAAUAGUUUACUUAGUAUUUUAUAUUUUACGUCAGUUUGUAUUAUUACCAUUUUUUUUGUUUCGAACAUUUACGAUCACUUACAAUCAGGCCCCUGGGCAAAACAAAAUUUUGAGGCCCAUAACUAGUCUGUUUUUAAAAUUGUGUGUUUCUUUAACUUUUCAACUUACACAUAACAUCAAGCAAAAAUUUAUACUUGAUUUCUUAGUUAGAAAAUUCAGUAAUCUUAUAUAUAAUACAAAUAAGA